rnacentral:rRNA from 1 species
GUGAAAUGCAAAUCGGACUAGGAUAUAGCUGGUUUUCUGCGAAAUCUAUUUAGGUAGAUAGCUUAAUAAGGAUGUUUAUUAGUGGGUAUAGCACUGAAUAUCUAAUAUUAUUAGAAGGGAGUAUGAAAGUACUUACUUUGGAUAUUUAAUCUCAGAAUAACUAAUAGAUGAUGAUUAAGUUGUCAGACUUUUUGCGAUAAGGUGGGAAGUCGAGAGGGGAACAGCCCAGAAUAAUUUAUAAAGUUCUAAAAUUGUUACUGAG